rnacentral:rRNA from 1 species
CUACGGGUCGCUCCAGUGAGGAAUAUUGGACAAUGGGCGCAAGCCUGAUCCAGCAAUACCACGUGGACGAUGAAGGCUUUCGGGUUGUAAAGUCCUUUCAGUAGGGAAGAUAAUGACGGUACCUACAGAAGAAGCACCGGCAAACUCCGUGCCAGCAGGCCGCGGUAAUACGGAGGGUGCUAGCGUUGUUCGGAAUUAUUGGGCGUAAAGCGUACGUAGGCUGCUUUGUAAGUUGGUUGUGAAAAUCCAGUGCUCAACAUUGGACUUGCAAUCAAAACUACAAGGCUAGAGUAUGAUAGGGGAUAGCAGAAUUCCUAGUGUAGGGGUGAAAUCCGUAGAUAUUAGGAGGAAUACCGGUGGUGAAGACGGCUAUCUUGGUUAUAUCUGACGCUAAGGUACGAAGGUGUGGGUAGCAAACAGGAUUAGAUACCCCGGUAGUC